GAUGAACGCUGGCGGCGUGCCUAAUACAUGCAAGUCGAGCGAACAGACGAGGAGCUUGCUCCUCUGACGCUAGCGGCGGACGGGUGAGUAACACGUGGAUAACCUACCUAUAAGACUGGGAUAACUUCGGGAAACCGGAGCUAAUACCGGAUAAUAUAUUGAACCGCAUGGUUCAAUAGUGAAAGACGGUUUUGCUGUCACUUAUAGAUGGAUCCGCGCCGCAUUAGCUAGUUGGUAAGGUAACGGCCUACCAAGGCAACGAUGCGUAGCCGACCUGAGAGGGUGAUCGGCCACACUGGAACUGAGACACGGUCCAGACUCCUACGGGAGGCAGCAGUAGGGAAUCUUCCGCAAUGGGCGAAAGCUUGACGGAGCAAUGCCGCGUGAGUGAUGAAGGUCUUCGGAUCGUAAAACUCUGUUAUUAGGGAAGAACAAAUGUGUAAGUAACUAUGCACGUCUUGACGGUACCUAAUCAGAAAGCCACGGCUAACUACGUG
rnacentral:rRNA from 1 species